GACAGAGGGUGCAAACGUUGUUCGGAAUUACUGGGCGUAAAGCGUGUGUAGGCGGCCACAUAAGUCGGAUGUGAAAGCCCUGGGCUCAACCCAGGAAGUGCACUCGAUACUGUGUGGCUUGAGUACUGGAGAGGUUGGUGGAAUUCUCGGUGUAGAGGUGAAAUGCGUAGAUAUCGUUUGGAACGCCAAUGGUGAAAACAGGUUGCUGGGAGUGCGCUGACGCUGAGACACGAAAGCCAGGGGAGCAAACGGG
rnacentral:rRNA from 1 species